GUUCAGUGAUGACUGUUGAUGACGAGUCGUAUUAACCAUGCCGACUAUGUAACGAGGCAUUUGUCUGAGAACC
ensembl:snoRNA SNORD15 Small nucleolar RNA SNORD15